AGAGUUUGAUUCUGGCUCAGGAUGAACGCUAGCGAUAGGCCUAACACAUGCAAGUCGAGGGGCAGCACAUGAAGUAGCAAUACGGAUGGUGGCGACCGGCGCACGGGUGAGUAACGCGUAUGCAACCUGCCUACAACAGGGGAAUAACCCGUUGAAAGACGGACUAAUACCCCAUAACACAGGGAUCCCGCAUGGGAAUAUUUGUUAAAGAUUUAUCGGUUGUAGAUGGGCAUGCGUUCCAUUAGCUGGUUGGUGAGGUAACGGCUCACCAAGGCAACGAUGGAUAGGGGAACUGAGAGGUUUAUCCCCCACACUGGUACUGAGACACGGACCAGACUCCUACGGGAGGCAGCAGUGAGGAAUAUUGGUCAAUGGACGCAAGUCUGAACCAGCCACGUCGCGUGAAGGAAGACGGCCCUACGGGUUGUAAACUUCUUUUGUAAGGGAAUAAAGUGUAGUACGUGUACUAUUUUGCAUGUACCUUACGAAUAAGGAUCGGCUAACUCCGUGCCAGCAGCCGCGGUAAUACGGAGGAUCCGAGCGUUAUCCGGAUUUAUUGGGUUUAAAGGGUGCGCAGGCGGGAGAUUAAGUCGGCGGUGAAAUUUUGCAGCUCAACUGUAAAAGUGCCUUCGAAACUGGUUUCCUUGAGUGUGGAUGAAGUAGGCGGAAUUUGUGGUGUAGCGGUGAAAUGCAUAGAUAUCACGAGGAACUCCGAUUGCGCAGGCAGCUUACUAAACCAUAACUGACGCUCAGGCACGAAGGCGUGGGGAUCAAACAGGAUUAGAUACCCUGGUAGUC
rnacentral:rRNA from 1 species